UACGAAGGGGGCUAGCGUUGCUCGGAAUUACUGGGCGUAAAGGGCGCGUAGGCGGAUGACUAAGUCGGGGGUGAAAGCCCGGGGCUCAACCUCGGAACUGCCUUCGAUACUGGUCAUCUUGAGUACGGGAGAGGUGUGUGGAACUCCGAGUGUAGAGGUGAAAUUCGUAGAUAUUCGGAAGAACACCAGUGGCGAAGGCGACACACUGGCCCGUUACUGACGCUGAGGCACGAAAGCGUGGGGAGCAAACAGG
rnacentral:rRNA from 1 species